GGAGGGUGCAAGCGUUGUUCGGAUUUAUUGGGCGUAAAGCGCGCGCAGGCGGAUUAUCAAGUCAGAUGUGAAAUCUCGGGGCUUAACCCCGAAACUGCGUCUGAAACUGGUAGUCUAGAAUCUCAGAGGGGGUAGGGGAAUUUCACGUGUAGGGGUAAAAUCCGUAGAGAUGUGAAGGAACACCAGUGGCGAAGGCGCCUACCUGGAUGAGUAUUGACGCUGAGGCGCGAAAGCGUGGGGAGCAAACAGGAUUAGAUACCCUGGUAGUCCACGCCGUAAACGAUGAGUACUAGUUAUUAGAGGUAUUGACCCCUUUAGUGACGCAGCUAACGCAUUAAGUACCCCGCCUGGGAAGUACGGUCGCAAGACUA
rnacentral:rRNA from 1 species